GGUGGCCAUGGCUGGAGGGAAACACCCGGACCCCAUUCCGAACCCGGAAGUUAAGCCUCCACACGCCGAUGGUACUGCCCACGCCAGUGGGUGGGAGAGUAGGACG
rnacentral:rRNA from 1 species